AUACGUAGGGGGCGAGCGUUAUCCGGAUUUAUUGGGCGUAAAGCGUGUGUAGGCGGUUUGUUAAGUUUAAGAUUAAAGCCCGAGGAUUAACCUCGGUUCGUCUUAAAAACUGGCAGACUUGAGUGGAGUUGAGGCAAGUGGAAUUUCUAGUGUAGCGGUUAAAUGCGUAGAUAUUAGAAGGAACACAAGUGGCGAAGGCGGCUUGCUGGGCUGUUACUGACGCUGAGACACGAAAGCGUGGGGAGCAAAUAGGAUUAGAUACCCUAGUAGUCCACGCCGUAAACGAUGAGUACUAAGUGUCGGGUAACCGGUGCUGAAGUUAACACAUUAAGUACUCCGCCUGAGUAGUACGGUCGCAAGGCUGAAACUCAAAUGAAUUGACGGGG
rnacentral:rRNA from 1 species